rnacentral:rRNA from 1 species
UACCAGCACCCCGAGUGGUCGGGACGUUUAUUGGGCCUAAAGCAUCCGUAGCCGGUUCUACAAGUCUUCCGUUAAAUCCACCUGCUUAACAGAUGGGCUGCGGAAGAUACUAUAGAGCUAGGAGGCGGGAGAGGCAAGCGGUACUCGAUGGGUAGGGGUAAAAUCCGUUGAUCCAUUGAAGACCACCAGUGGCGAAGGCGGCUUGCCAGAACGCGCUCGACGGUGAGGGAUGAAAGCUGGGGGAGCAAACCGGAUUAGAUACCCGGGUAGUCCCAGCUGUAAACGAUGCGGACUCGGUGAUGAGUUGGCUUAUUGCUAACUCAGUGCCGCAGGGAAGCCGUUAAGUUUGCCGCCUGGGGAGUACGGUCGCAAGACUGGAAACUUAAAGGAAUUGGCGGGGAGCACCACAAGGGGUGAAGCCUGCGGUUC